rnacentral:tRNA from 1 species
UCCCUGGUAGCUCAGCGGUAGAGCAUUCGACUGUUAAUCGACAGGUCGCCGGUUCUGAAUCCGGCCCGGGGAGCCA